GACGAACGCUGGCGGCGUGCUUAACACAUGCAAGUCGAACGGAAAGACCCUGCUUUUGUGGGGUGCUCGAUUGGCGAACGGGUGAGUAGCACGUGAGUAACCUGCCCUUGACUUUGGGAUAACUUCUGGAAACUGGGGCUAAUACCGGAUAGGAUCUCCUGCUGCAUGGUGGGGGUUGGAAAGUUUCGGCGGUUGGGGAUGGACUCGCGGCUUAUCAGCUUGUUUGUGGGGUAGUGGCUUACAAAGGCUUUGACGGGUAGCCGGCCUGGGAGGGUUGCCGGCCACAUUGGGACUGAGAUACGGCCCAGAAUCCAACGGGAGGCAGCAGUGGAGAAUAUUGCACAAUGGGCGGAAGCCAGAUGCAGCAACGCUGCGUGCGGAAUGACGGCCUUCGGGUUGUAAACCGCUUUCGCCGGUGACGAAGCGUGCGUGACGGUAAUGGGUAAAGAAGCACCGGCUAACUACGUG
rnacentral:rRNA from 1 species